rnacentral:rRNA from 1 species
AGGACGAACGCUGGCGGCGUGCCUAACACAUGCAAGUCGAACGGAGCCCGCAAGGGUUCAGUGGCGAACGGGUGCGUAACACGUGAGGAACUUGUCCAUCGGCGGGGGAUAGCCGGCCCAACGGCCGGGUAAUACCGCGUACGCCGUCCGGAGCGCAUGCUCUGGCCGGGAAAGCAGCAAUGCACCGAUGGAGAGCCUCGCGGCCUAUCAGCUAGUUGGUGGGGUAAUGGCCUACCAAGGCGACGACGGGUAGCUGGUCUGAGAGGAUGACCAGCCACAUUGGGACUGAGACACGGCCCAGACUCCUACGGGAGGCAGCAGUGGGGAAUAUUGCGCAAUGGGCGAAAGCCUGACGCAGCGACGCCGCGUGUGGGAUGACGGCCUUCGGGUUGUAACCACUGUCGCGAGGGACGAAGAUCUGACGGUACCUCGAAAGGAAGCACCGGCUAACUCUGCGCCAGCAGCCGCGGU